rnacentral:rRNA from 1 species
GCUUUUUGGAGUGUAAACCGCUUUUCUCAAGGAAGAUGAUGACGGUACUUGAGGAAUCAGCAUCGGCUAACUUCGUGCCAGCAGCCGCGGUAAUACGAGGGAUGCAAGCGUUAUCCGGAAUUAUUGGGCGUAAAGCGUUCGUAGGUGGCAAAUUAAGUCUGUUGUUAAAACGUGGAGCUUAACUCCAUAUCGGCAAUGGAAACUGGUUAGCUAGAGUAUGGUAGGGGUAACAGGAAUUCCCAGUGUAGCGGUGAAAUGCGUAGAUAUUGGGAAGAACACCAGCGGCGAAAGCGUGUUACUGGGCCAUCACUGACACUGAGGGACGAAAGCUAGGGGAGCGAAAGGGAUUAGAUACCCCUGUAGUCCUAGCCGUAAACGAUGAGAACUAGGUGUUGCGCGUAUCGACCCGCGCGGUGCCGUAGCUAACGCGUUAAGUUCUCCGCCUGGGGAGUACGCACGCAAGUGUGAAACUCAAAGGAAUUGACGGGGGCCCGCACAAGCGGUGGAGUAUGUGGUUUAAUUCGAUGCAACGCGAAGAACCUUACCAGGGUUUGACAUCCUCGGAACUUUCUGGAAACAGAUUGGUGCCUUCGGGAACCGAGAGACAGGUGGUGCAUGGCUGUCGUCAGCUCGUGUCGUGAGAUGUUGGGUUAAGUCCCGCAACGAGCGCAACCCACGUUUUUAGUUGCCAGCAUUUAGUUGGGCACUCUAGAGAGACUGCCGGUGACAAACCGGAGGAAGGUGUGGAUGACGUCAAGUCAGCAUGCCCCUUACAUCCUGGGCUACACACGUACUACAAUGCUACGGACAAAGGGCAGCGAGCCAGCAAUGGUCGGCAAAUCCCAUAAACCGUAGCUCAGUUCAGAUUGCAGGCUGCAACUCGCCUGCAUGAAGGCGGAAUCGCUAGUAAUCGCAGGUCAGCAUACUGCGGUGAAUACGUUCCCGGGCCUUGUACACACCGCCCGUCACACCAUGGGAGUUGGUCACGCCCGAAGGGUU